rnacentral:rRNA from 1 species
GAUGAACGCUAGCUACAGGCUUAACACAUGCAAGUCGAGGGACCGGCGCACGGGUGAGUAACACGUAUCCAACCUGCCCUUUACUCGGGGAUAGCCUUUCGAAAGAAAGAUUAAUACCCGAUGUAAAGGAUGGGGAUGCGUUCCAUUAGGUUGUUGGUGAGGUAACGGCUCACCAAGCCUUCGAUGGAUAGGGGUUCUGAGAGGAAAGGCCCCCAAAAUGGAACCGGGGCAACGUCCAAACUCCUAAGGGAGGGAGGAGGGGAGGAAAUUGGGUAAAGGGGGGUAGGCUUAACCAGCCAAGGAGGGGGAAGGAUGAAGGGUUUUGGGUCGUAAACUUUUUUUAUAUAAGAAUAUGUAUUAUAUGAAUAAGGAUCGGCUAACUCCGUGCCAGCAGCCGCGGUAAUUC